rnacentral:rRNA from 1 species
UGGGGGAUAUUGCACAAUGGGCGAAAGCCUGAUGCAGCGACGCCGCGUGGGGGAUGAAGGCCUUCGGGUUGUAAACUUCUUUUGCUCUGAACAAGGCAUGCUAAUGGGUGUGUUGAGUGUAGGGGUUGAUUAGCGCCGGCUAACUACGUGCCAGCAGCCGCGGUAAUACGUAGGGCGCGAGCGUUGUCCGGAAUUAUUGGGCGUAAAGGGCUUGUAGGUGGCUGGUUGCGUCUGUCGUGAAAGCUCAUGGCUUAACUGUGGGUUUGCGGUGGGUACGGGCUGGCUUGAGUGCAGUAGGGGAGGCUGGAAUUCCUGGUGUAGCGGUGGAAUGCGCAGAUAUCAGGAGGAAUACCGGUGGCGAAGGCGGGUCUCUAGGCUGUUACUGACACUGAGGAGCGAAAGCAUGGGGAGCGAACAGG